AUGCUCAAGUCACUUCUAGAUUUAGAUCCUCGGACCAAAGGUUUGAUUAACCUAACAUAUGUCAAUAACAACCUAGAGGAGUACUACACGUACACUUUACUGGAUGAAUCAUCGUCUUACAUAUUUGUCUCACUAGACAUCUCUGGUCAGGUUAAGCUGAAUAUUUGGUCACAAGCCAACCAGUCUUGGCAAACCAUAUAUUCCGAGCCUGCCGACCCUGCAGCCCGCCUGCUACGUGCGGACCUUUCACAGUCUGCAACGGCAUUGCACAUCCAUCAUGUGUCUUUAUGGAGGGCUUCUCCCAUAAGUCACCGCAUGAUUGGGAGUUUGAGCCUCGAACACGAGGGUGCAUUAGAAACACGCCGUUACAUUGCAGCACUAGUGGUAACAAGAAAAACAUGA
rnacentral:rRNA from 1 species